CCCGCACGCGCCUGAAGCCGACCCCGCGGCGACAGCGCAUGCGCGGCGUCGUCUCCGGAGCAACGCGGCGUCGCCGCGGAGUGACGUCAUCACGCUGCGACCCGAGGAGCCGGCCGGGCGGCAGCGGGGCGGGGCGGCCCCGGGGCUCCGAGCGCCGCCUCAGCUUCUGCGACCUCCCUUUUCCCCACUUAGAAUCGUGCAGAAGGAUCUGGAGACGUCCUAGAGAGGUUUGGGGGCAUCCAGGGGGUUCUGGACUCAUGCAGAAGAGUCUGGAGAUGUCCAAGGAGGAUCCAGGGAGUUCCCACGCCUGCCUGCAGCCGGACCCGGUGACACCGGAGCCCUCUGGCGCUGUCACCAUCCUCUGUCCCGAGGACGGGAGGUGAACUGUGUGCCACCAGCAGAGGGGACCACGGGUGACAUCAGUGUGGAACAGCCGUGACGCGGCGGCGUUGUCAUUGGGUGUCACCGUCACGCAGAGGGGACAAAAGGACCCCCCUGGGGGCAUUGCGUCGAAGUUGGGGACACCGUGAGCAGCUUGAGGACUUCCCAGGGGAAGUGGGGGCACCGCGUCACCGUGUCACACCCCAAAGGUGGGGACGCCCCCACAGUGUCACACCCCAAAGUUGGGGGCACCCCUGUAGUUUCACACCCCGAAGUUGGAAAAACCCCCACAGUGUCACACCCCAAAGUUGGGGACACCUCUGUGUCACCCCAAUGGUGUCCGACCCAAAGCUGGGGACACUCCACAGUGUCACACCCCAAAGUUGGGGACGCCCCGACAGUGUCACAUCUCAAAUUUGGGACAGCUCUGUGUCCCCCCAAUGGUGUCAGACCCCAAAGUUGGGGACGCCCCCACAGUGUCACAGCCCAAAGUUGGGGUCUGUCCCAGAGGUGGGAGUGCCCCCACAUCCCCACCAUGGCGUCACAUCCCAAAGUUGGGGACCCCCAUCUGGGGACCCAUUCUGUGCUCCCCCAAUUGCAGACAGCACUGUUCCCAUGGGGUGGGGGCGGGGGGCACCCUUUAUUUUUGGGAUUAAGGUUUAUUUCAUGAUAACGGGGGGUUGGGGAAUGCCCCCCCAUGUGAAUAAAGGGCGGAGGAGCGGCUGUGGGGCUCCGUGUGUAACACCGGGGGGUGCUUUGGGGACACUGCAGCAUCCCAGCCCCAUAGCCCCCAUGGCCCUAUAACCACUACAGCCCCAUCUCGUAGCCAUCCCAUAUCCAUAUCCCAUCCCAUAUCCCAUCCUGUAUCCAUAACCCUUCCAAUAUCCAAACCACCAUAUCCGUCCCACACCCAUAGCCCAAAUCCAUCCCAUAUCCGUAUCCCAAAUCCAUCCCGUAUCCAUACCCCAUCCCAUAUCCGUAUCCCAUCCCAUAUCUCAUCCCCUAUCCAUAUCCCAUCCCAACUCCAUGCCAAAUCUCUUUCUAUAUCCACAUCACCUUAUCCAUCCCAUAACCAUCCCAAAUCCAUCUCAAAUCCAUAUCUCAUCCCAGACCGAUCCCAUCUCCUUAUCCAUCCCGUAUCAAUGUCCCAUCCCUUAUCCAAUCCCAUACCCCAUCCUACAGCCAUCCCACAUCCAUACCCGCACAUCCCAUAUCCUAUCCCCAUCCUGUACCCCAUGUCCCAUAUCCAUUUCCAUCCCACAGCCUUCCCGAAUCCAUAUCCCCGCAUCCAUCCCGUGUCCACCCCAUAUCCAUUCCGUAUACUUAUCCCAUCCUAUGAUCAUCCCAAUCCCAUCCCAUAUCCAUAUCCCAUCCCAACUCCACCCCAUAUCGUUCCCAUACCUUUGCCAAGUCUGUCCCGUACCCGUAUACCCACUUCCCGCAUCCCAUUCCCAAUCCCAACCCCAAUCCCAAUCCCAAUCCCACACCUCAUUCCCAAUCCCACAUGCGAAUCCCGUAUCCCGCAUCCCAAUCCCUAUCCCGAAUCCCAAUGCCAAUCCCACAUCCCAGCCCCAUGUACUGUGUGUCAAUCUAUCGCAAUCCCAACUCUCAUAUCGCAGUCCUAACCCCAAUCCCACACCCCAAUCCCAAUCCCAAUGCCAUCCCCUAUUGCAAUAGGGCACACUCCGGGCCCCUCCCGCAGCUCCGUCCCGCCCCCAUCUUCUCAUUGGCUGAGGUGCAGCUCCGUCCCGCCCCCGGCCUCUCAUUGGUCAGGUGCAGCUCCGUCCCGGCCCCGGCCUCUCAUUGGCUGAGCCGCAGUUCCAUCCUGCCUCCAGCCUCUCAUUGGUCAGGUUCAGCUCCGUCCCGCCGCCGGCCUCUCAUUGGCUGAGGCGCAGCCCAGUCCCGCCCCCAUCCUCUCAUUGCUCAGCGGCAGCGCCGCCGGCUCCCAUUGGCUGAGGCGCAGCGCGCGGGAGCGGCCGUUGGCAGCCGGCUCGGGCCCGCCCGGCUCUCCCCUCAGCCGGCGUCGCUCCGCAGCCCGGGCCGCCCCGCACGGCACCGCCGACGGAACAGCACCGGGACGGAACCGCGGCACGACGGGAGCGGUGCUGAGCUCUGCGGUGGGGCGUGUGGUGUUGUGGGGAAGCGGCGCAGAUGGAAAGCUGCCGUGUGGAGCCCCACAGGACGAGUUGCAGAGGCCCCUGAAGGAAAAGGAGAAGGAAGGGCAUUUGCAGAGGGACAGGCUGUCCCGCUGGCCUUAGGUGUUGCUGAACGGGAGGGGUGGCCAAUGCUUUCUCUUUCCACUGCCUCACGGAUGGUGGCAAAUGCCUUCUGGGGGUGGUUCCAGCAGUGGGAAGAAAACAGCUGGCAGCGGAGGGGUAAACCUCUUUGGGCUGCUGAGCUGUGUGCUGAACCAUAAGGAAGGUGGCUGUAAAGGUGUGCCGUGCAGAUGUCGUGUGCCCAGCAGUCGGGCCGAUGAAGAGCAACAAAUGAAGCGCCAGGCAAACCGGUGAGUUCCUGAAGGCAAAGGCAAAGCAAGUCUUGUUCAGCGCUGCCCACCCCGCAGGUCAGAGCUCCAGUGCCAUGAGGUGAAGGAUUCUGGGGGUUGUGCCCUUCCUUAUCCCUCCACCCCUUUCAUUCCUUUGCUUUGGCAAGGGCUGCCUUACACCGUCAAGACAGGAAAGGCUGGAGCCCUGGGCACAAGGCAAAGGCAUGCAAAGAGCGCACAGCCAGCUGAGGCCACACCACAGAGCCAGCUGCGUGGCAAGGAAGUGUUCUUAGCCCAGACACGGGAGCUCAUGCACAGGUCCUGCUGACACCAGCUGGAAGAGAAAGGCAUUCGAUGGGAGGAAGCACCAGGAGCACGGCAUCCAAAGGAGCUUCCCAGGGAACUGCUGGCAGAAUGUCCUGCUGCUUCCCAGCAGUUUGCAGAGAACCGCUGCCCAAAGUUGGGCUCUUAAGCCCUCUGCAUCCUGCAGAGCAUCUGCUGCUUCUUUGUUUGCUUUCCAAUCCCCUCCAGGCUCCGCAGUGCCAAGGAUUGGUUGAAGGCCCCUUCUUCCCACGUGCCACCGCCUUCAGCCCGAGCUCGGUGGUGGGCACUGGGAAGAUGCUUCCACACCGAAGCCCAUCCUGCUGCCAAGGCGACCCCCAGCCCGGCUCAAGGGCCCACCCUCUGUCUCAGCAGUGAUGAGCCCAUGGCCAAACUCCCCCGUCCCCGCGGAGGCAGAAGGGCAGAGCUUUGGCCUCUGCCGCACACCACAGCACUGACCUGCAGGACGUCAUUUUUCCAAGCUGCCAAUAUCCAGAGGAAGGCUCCAGCUGUAGGGGGCCAUCAGUCGGGAGAGACAGUUAGUUUGCUCAGACUGCUCUGAGCCCUGCAGCCCCGUUUUCCUCCUCCAGACCCAGCAGGGACACGCUGUGUGGGACAGUCCCGCUCCCCGGCUCUGCUGGGACGGCCCUGGGUGGGGAACACUCACCAGAAAGGACUACUAGAAGCAGGACGGGAGUUCUCCUUCCCCUCUCUUUGGCAGCGUGUUGCCUAAGGGAGAGAUCAGAUGGUGGUUAUCACAGCCCAGCGCUGGGACACGCUCUGCUGGGAUCCUUUUAGCCCCAUUUGGCUCUGCCCAGAGCAGGAGCAGGGCUGUGCCCACGGAAGGGGACGUUGUGCCACCCAGCUGGAGGAAGCCCGGCAGCACGCAGUGCUUCUGGCUUCCCCUCCCUGCGUUCUGGGCCCUGCUGCACCCACCUGCCCAGAUGGGCCGGCAUUUUGGCACCUUCACUCCUCUGACAGACACAGGGAACGGCUCGCUCUCCUCCCAGGACACAAGCAGCUCUUGACGUGCGGAAAUCAGACCCUAUAGCCAGUAAGGAUAUAGAGCAGGCAUGUGUUUAUUGGUGACACGCGUACACCCUGGUGCAAUGAGGAUCGCUCCACCUAACUUGCACACCGUCAGGAGAAAUCGUGCUAUAGAUACAGGUCGAACUAAUACAUAAUCAGUAGUUG
rnacentral:lncRNA from 1 species